GUGCUCACUUGGCAACACAUAUACUAAAAUUGGAAUGAUACAGAGAAAAUUAGCAUGGACUCUGCACAAGGAUAAAAUGCAGAGUCAUAAAGUGUUCCAUAUUUUG
ensembl:snRNA U6 U6 spliceosomal RNA